UUUGUAACAACAAAAAUAUAGUGGAAAUAAAAUAAAUAUUUUUCUCAAAUAUUUUAGUUUUUUAUUUUUAGGGUUUCUUUCAAACCCUAAAACCUUCUCACCAGCCACCCAAACAGAGGGAUAGUCUCACCAGGCGGCCAAUCGCCCUACUCCGGCGACUAUCUCCGACCUACCCGACCAGCCUGCUCUGCCCGACUGCAGCAAUUCAAGCGGCAUUUCACACGCAGCUCUCUGGUUUGCGUUUCCGACUCAUCCAGUCCACGUACUCGACUCAUCUGAUCCUUUGUUCACAAUCCUCUGCUUGCUCUGCCCGACUACAGUAGUUCACACGGCCUCUCGUGCGCAACCCUCUGGUUCACGUUCCGAUCCGUCCACUUGCAG
rnacentral:lncRNA from 1 species